CGCUUAACACAUGCAAGUCGAACGAGAAAGCCGGGGCAACCUGGUGAGUACAGUGGCGUACGGGUGAGUAACACGUGGAUGAUCUACCCUUUAGUGGGGAAUAACGCUGGGAAACCGGCGCUAAUACCGCAUAAUCCCGAGAGGGGAAAGCAGCAAUGCGCUGAAGGAGGGGUCCGCGGCCGAUUAGCUAGUUGGUGAGGUAAAGGCCCACCAAGGCAAAGAUCGGUAGCCGGCCUGAGAGGGCACACGGCCACACUGGCACUGAAACACGGGCCAGACUCCUACGGGAGGCAGCAGUGGGGAAUCUUGCACAAUGGGGGCAACCCUGAUGCAGCGACGCCGCGUGAGCGAUGAAGCCCUUCGGGGUGUAAAGCUC
rnacentral:rRNA from 1 species